rnacentral:piRNA from 1 species
UCUAGGUGUCUUUCAGUCUAAAGGGAAUA